UACGUAGGAGGCAAGCGUUGUUCGGAAUUACUGGGCGUAAAGGGCUUGUAGGCGGCCAACUAAGUCAGACGUGAAAUCCCUCGGCUUAACCGGGGAACUGCGUCUGAUACUGGAUGGCUUGAGUGUGGGAGAGGGAUGCGGAAUUCCAGGUGUAGCGGUGAAAUGCGUAGAUAUCUGGAGGAACACCGGUGGCGAAGGCGGCAUCCUGGACCAUUACUGACGCUGAGUGAGCGAAAGCCAGGGGAGCAAACGGG
rnacentral:rRNA from 1 species